rnacentral:rRNA from 1 species
GCGCAGCAGGCGCGAAAACUCCGCAAUGCACGAAAGUGUGACGGGGUCAUCCCGAGUGCCGCCCGCUGAGGGCGGCUUUUCCUCGGUGUAAGGAGCCGAGAGAAUAAGGGGAGGGCAAGCCUGGUGUCAGCCGCCGCGGUAAUACCAGCUCCCCGAGUGGUGAGGAUGAUUACUGGGCCUAAAGCGUCCGUAGCCGGUUUAGCAAGUCUCCCGUCAAAUCUACCGAUUCAAUCGGUAGGCCGCGGGAAAUACUGCUAGACUAGGAGGCGGUAGAGGCCGGCGGUAGUCCCAGGGUAGGGGUAAAAUCCUAUAAUCCUGGGAGGACCACCAGUGGCGAAGGCGGCCGGCCAGAACGCGCUCGACGGUGAGGGACGAAAGCUGGGGGAGCGAACCGGAUUAGAUACCCCCGUAGUCC